GGAAUGGCAUAAUAAACAUAUUGUAGAGCUGGGCUUUACACCAGGAGUAGGAGUACUCCCGUUAUAGUGAGUAAUAGACUUUCAUCUUAACUAUCUAAAGUUGUUUUUACUCGUUUUUAUGUUUUAAAGAAUAAUGAGUUUAAAUUGUAAAUUAUUAUGUUUUAAAAUUGAAGUGUUGGUUAAACGAAAUGAGAUUUAUAACUUGCUUUGAAAUCGAAUACUGGUUUUGAAAAUUGCGUAAGUGGAGACUAUAUACUUGUGUUAUAUAUAUGUUUUGACAUAUGGUUUGAAUUGAUGGCUUAUGACAAUGUGAUGGCAUGAAUGGCUGGAUUUGUGUUUGUGUGGAAUAUAUGAAUUGUUUUGUUUUACCUUGACAAGCUGGGUAAUAUCAUAUUAUCCAUGUCAUGCUGUUGAAAUUUUUUUUGAUUUGGUGGGGUAAGUGAUUAGCUUACUGCAAUGGGCGAGUUUUCGUGGACCAGCCUAUUAGAGGGGUACGGUAAACCCUGUUAUAUUUUACCUAAGUAUGAGAGGCGCGAAGGGUUUCUCCUAAGGUAGUUUAGAGUUCACUUCACGUCGAACCACCACGUGAGGGUGAAACUCAGCCAACGCCAAGGAACGACUACGUUUUUAAACGUAAAAACAUAUUUUAUGUGUAUAUGUUAAUUUAACAGCCUUAGCGGACUCGAUUGGUUGCCCGGCUCAAGGUGUCACCGAGGAAGAGUUUUGGCACAAGCCAAGUUUUAAGAGAGUCAUAAGCCUUACUGAUUUUUUUUAUGAAAUGUAAUUGUUUUAUAUGGUUGAAAUGAGUUUUAAUGUUAUGAAUCAUAUUAUGAAGAGAUGUUUUAAUUCUCUCCAUUUACUUGGCUUUAGAUGUUAUAGAUGAACUUUGCUUACUCACUGGGUUUAUAAAAACUCACCCCCUUCUUUUCACCCAUUUCAGGUUCAGAGCAGUCUGUAGACAGUCGAUUUUGUCGAGGGUUUGCUUUUGGAUUUGCACCCUUAGAAAUCGUAGGUCUACAGUCCUGUUUAUUUUUGUUAUUUUGGGGCUCACAUGUCAUUGUAGAAUAUUUUUGUAUACCUUGGCG
rnacentral:lncRNA from 1 species